rnacentral:rRNA from 1 species
ACGCACGCUGGCGGCGUGCUUAACACAUGCAAGUCGAACGGAAAGGCCCUGCUUUUGUGGGGUGCUCGUGUGGCGAACGGGUGAGUAACACGUGAGUAACCUGCCCUUGACUUUGGGAUAACUUCAGGAAACUGGGGCUAAUACCGGAUAGGAGCUCCUGCUGCAUGGUGGGGGUUGGAAAGUUUCGGCGGUUGGGGAUGGACUCGCGGCUUAUCAGCUUGUUGGUGGGGUAGUGGCUUACCAAGGCUUUGACGGGUAGCCGGCCUGAGAGGGUGACCGGCCACAUUGGGACUGAGAUACGGCCCAGACUCCUACGGGGGGCAGCAGUGGGGAAUAUUGCACAAUGGGCGGAAGCCUGAUGCAGCAACGCCGCGUGCGGGAUGGCGGCCUUCGGGUUGUAAACCGCUUUCGCCUGUGACGAAGCGUGAGUGACGGUAAUGGGUAAAGAAGCACCGGCUAACUACGU